CAAACGUGUGCUCUUCCCAUAAGUUGGCUUAAGAUUAUUGAAUGAUCAUUCAAUCUAGUUGACGAGGAACGCACCAGCGACUGUAUUAUCCUGUUUUAUGAUGAUCUGAUUUGCAGUUAAUAAACACUUGUC